rnacentral:tRNA from 1 species
GACCGCGUAGCUCAGUUGGCAGAGCAUUGGGCUGGUAUUCCAAAGGUCGCAGGUUCGAAUCCCACCGUGGCCG